rnacentral:tRNA from 1 species
GCGGGAGUACCCGAGGUUGGUCAAAGGGGCGAGACUUAAGAUCUCGUGUCUAAGGACUUCGAGGGUUCAAGUCCCUCCUCCCGCA